rnacentral:misc_RNA from 1 species
CUUCUCUUUUAAUGACGUAGAUACAACCCUAACAAUGGAUGAAUAUCAAGGGUUGCUUCAGUUACCUGAUGGAGAUCGGAUCCAUCUUCAUUUAACCAAUAAGAAAGCAAGGAAAUGGUUAGCUAAUAUUAUGCAGAUCUCAGUUGAGGAGACAAAAAAUAAAGAAGCCAUAAAAGGGGAUCUCAUGGAUGGUUAUGAAGCUACAUGGAAAAAUUUUUCAAAAUCACUUUCAAGAAGGAAAAAUGGAAGUUGCCAUAAGAUUUUUGUAACACCCCUAUGUUCAGUAGUACGUUCUACUGUUUCAGUGACCAGUGUCUGUCCGGACAGUCGGGAUGUCUAGACGUAUGUUUGUAUCAUCUAGAAAAGCCCUUUCUUCCUGAACGAGACUUUUG